GUCUAUGGCCAUACCACCUUGAAUGCACCCUAUCUUUUCUGAUCUCAGAAGCUAAGCAGGAUUGGGCCUGGUUACUACUUGGAUGUGCGACUGCCUGAGAAUACCUGGUGCUGUAGGCU
ensembl:rRNA 5S_rRNA 5S ribosomal RNA